AUUGAACGCUGGCGGCAUGCCUUACACAUGCAAGUCGAACGGCAGCACGGGAGCAAUCCUGGUGGCGAGUGGCGAACGGGUGAGUAAUAUAUCGGAACGUGCCCAGUAGUGGGGGAUAACUGCUCGAAAGAGCAGCUAAUACCGCAUACGACCUGAGGGUGAAAGGGGGGGAUCGCAAGACCUCUCGCUAUUGGAGCGGCCGAUAUCAGAUUAGCUAGUUGGUGGGGUAAAGGCCUACCGAGGCAACGAUCUGUAGUUGGUCUGAGAGGACGACCAGCCAAACUGGGACUGAGACACGGCCCAGACUCCUACGGGAGGCAGCAGUGGGGAAUUUUGGACAAUGGGCGCAAGCCUGAUCCAGCAAUGCCGCGUGCAGGAAGAAGGCCUUCGGGUUGUAAACUGCUUUUGUCAGGGAAGAAAUCCUCUAGGUUAAUACCCUUGGGGGGAUGACGGUACCUGAAGAAUAAGCACCGGCUAACUACGUGCCAGCAGCCGCCGUAACAC
rnacentral:rRNA from 1 species